rnacentral:rRNA from 1 species
CAUUCCAAAUUUCACACCCUGUGCACUUUUUGUAGGCCGACUUUAAAAAGUUGGUCUAUGUUUUUAAUAACACCCAAAGAAGUUUAGAAUGUUUAUUUGUAGCUUGCUUGCAAGCUUAAAAAUUAUACAACUUUCAACAACGGAUCUCUUGGCUCUCGCAUCGAUGAAGAACGCAGCGAAAUGCGAUAAGUAAUGUGAAUUGCAGAAUUCAGUGAAUCAUCGAAUCUUUGAACGCACCUUGCGCUCCUUGGUAUUCCGAGGAGCAUGCCUGUUUGAGUGUCAUUCAACUUCUCAACCACAUUCGUUCAUCUGAUUGUGGCUUGGAUGAUGGGGGUUUUUGUUUGCAGGCUUCUUAAUUAAUCUGAGAGGUCGGCUCCCCUGAAAUGUAUCAGUGGUAUCUGAGGCUAUUGCUAUAGGUGUGAUAAUUAUCUAUGCCCUUGGUUGUGCCGCAUGGAACUGCUUCCAACAAAGAUGAUCUUUUUGAUGAAUUUGACCUCAAAUCAGGUAGGACUACCCGCUGAACUUAAGCAUAUCAAUAAGCGGAGGA